rnacentral:rRNA from 1 species
UACAGGAGGUCUCAAGCGUUUGUUCGGAAUGCACUAGGGCGUAAAGGGUGGUGUAGGCUGCGUGUUAAGUCAGAUGUGAAAUCCCGGGGCUCAACCUCGGAACUGCAUCGAUACUGGCAUGCUAGAGAAUUGGAGAGGAGUCUAGAAUUCACGGUGUAGCAGUGAAAUGCGUAGAUAUCGUGAGGAAUACCAAGUGCGAAGGCAGGACUCUGGAGAGCAACUGACGCUGAGGCACGAAGGCCAGGGGAGCGAACGGG